rnacentral:sRNA from 1 species
AGUCAAGAUGGCGGGAGCAGCUACCCAGGCUUCCCUGGAGUCGGCCCCACGGAUCAUGCGGCUGGUGGCCGAAUGCAGCCGCUCCAGGGCCCGGGCAGGCGAGCUGUGGCUGCCGCAUGGGACAGUGGCCACUCCUGUGUUCAUGCCAGUGGGCACGCAGGCCACCAUGAAGGGCAUCACGACCGAACAGCUGGACGCUCUGGGUUGCCGCAUCUGCCUGGGCAAUACCUACCAUCUGGGUCUAAGGCCGGGACCCGAGCUGAUCCAGAAAGCCAACGGUCUCCACGGCUUCAUGAAUUGGCCUCAUAAUCUGCUAACGGACAGCGGCGGUUUCCAGAUGGUGUCGCUGGUGUCUCUGUCCGAGGUGACGGAGGAGGGCGUCCGCUUCCGCUCCCCCUACGACGGCAAUGAGACCCUGCUGAGCCCGGAGAAAUCCGUGCAGAUCCAGAAUGCGCUGGGCUCGGACAUCAUCAUGCAGCUGGACGAUGUGGUUAGCAGUACUGUGACUGGGCCACGUGUGGAGGAGGCCAUGUACAGGCCCCUGGGGCUUGUGACUGGGGCCCUGUUGCAGGUCAAUCCGCUGGCUGGACCGGUGCAUUGCAGCCCAUCAGCGGCCGGACAAGCAGAACCUCUUCGCCAUUAUCCAGGGUGGGCUGGACGCAGAUCUCCGGGCCACCUGCCUUGAAGGGACAGGGUUUCACCAUGUUGGCUAGGCUGGUCUUGAACUCCUGACCUCGUGAUCCACCCGCCUUGGCCUCCAGAGUGCUGGGAUUACAGGCUUGAGCCACUGCACCUGGCCAACACCUGCGUUCUUGAUGGCAUGGCCUCUUCGGGUUGAACUGGGCAGCUGGGGCACAAGAUAAGCCUGGACUU